CCUACGGGCGGCAGCAGUGAGGAAUAUUGGUCAAUGGGCGGAAGCCUGAACCAGCCAAGUCGCGUGAGGGAAUAAGGCCCUACGGGUCGUAAACCUCUUUUGCCGGGGAGCAAGGGCGGGGACGUGUCCCGGCCCGGAGAGUACCCGGAGCAAAAGCAUCGGCUAACUCCGUGCCAGCAGCCGCGGUAAUACGGCGGAUGCGAGCGUUAUCCGGAUUCAUUGGGUUAAAAGGGUGCGUAGGCGGGCUGUUAAGUCAGCGGUAAAAGCCCGGGGCGCAACCCCGGCGAGCCGUUGAAACUGGCUGUCUGGAGAGGUCGAGAGGUAUGCGGAAUGCGGAGUGUAGCGGUGAAAUGCUUAGAUAUUGCGCAGAACUCCGAUUGCGAAGGCGGCCUGCUGGGCUUUUACUGACGCUGAGGCUCGAAAGUGUGGGGAGCAAACAGGAUUAGAUACCCUUGUAGUC
rnacentral:rRNA from 1 species